AACCUACUUCCUCCGUUCCGAAUUACUCGUCGCAAAAAUGGAUGUAUCUAGAUGUAUUUUAGUUCAAGGUACAUUUAUUUCUGCGACGAGUAAUUUGAAACGGAGGGAGUAAUAU
rfam:Triticum urartu cultivar G1812 contig960023, whole genome shotgun sequence.